rnacentral:rRNA from 1 species
CAGUAGCCACGGUAAUACGGAGGGUGCAAGCGUUAAUCGGAAUUACUGGGCGUAAAGCGCACGCAGGCGGUUUGUUAAGUCAGAUGUGAAAUCCCCGAGCUUAACUUGGGAACUGCAUUUGAAACUGGCAAGCUAGAGUCUUGUAGAGGGGGGUAGAAUUCCAGGUGUAGCGGUGAAAUGCGUAGAGAUCUGGAGGAAUACCGGUGGCGAAGGCGGCCCCCUGGACAAAGACUGACGCUCAGGUGCGAAAGCGUGGGGAGCAAACAGGAUUAGAUACCCCAGUAGUCCCUGUCUCUUAUAU